CCCUUAGAUGUCCGGGGCCGCACGCGCGCUACAAUGGAUGAAUCAACGCGUCAUCCUGGCCCGAAAGGGUUGGGGAACCGCUGAACCUCAUCCGUGGUUGGGAUUGGGGUUUGUAAUUAUUCCCCAUGAACUAGGAAUUCCCAGUAAGCGCGAGUCAUAAGCUCGCGUUGAUUACGUCCCUGCCCUUUGUACACACCGCCCGUCGCUACUACCGAUUGGAUGGUUUAGUGAGAUCCUCGGAUUGGUCGCGGCACGGUGGCAACACUGCGUCGGUGUGCCGAGAAGACGAUCAAACUUGAUCAUCUAGAGGAAGUAAAAGUCGUAACA
rnacentral:rRNA from 1 species